CGAGCACGCGCGUGUGGCAUAUCAAUAAGCGGAGGAAAAGAAACUAACAAGGAUUCCCUUAGUAACGGCGAGUGAAGCGGGAAGAGCUCAAAUUUGAAAUCUUCAAGGUUCUACCUUGACGAAUUGUAGUUUAUAGAAGUGUUUUCUGUUAGUGGAGUGGCAAAAGUUCUUUGGAAUAGGACAUCAUAGAGGGUGAGAAUCCCGUAUUUGGUCAUUCCUCCUAGCGUUGUGAUACACUUUCAACGAGUCGGAUUGUUUGGGAAUGCAGUCCAAAAUGGGUGGUAAAUUUCAUCUAAAGCUAAAUAUUGGCGAGAGACCGAUAGCGAACAAGUACCGUGAGGGAAAGAUGAAAAGAACUUUGAAAAGAGAGUUAAACAGUACGUGAAAUUGUCAAAAGGGAAGCGUUUGACACCAGUGUUGUUUAGUUGAAAAUCAAUUCAAUAGUUUUUGAUUCUAAGUAGUAUUGACUUCAUCAGCUUGCUGCUUUCUUCUCAGAAAUUAUUGAAUGCACUUUUCAGUUAACAAGUCAACAUCAAUUUCUUUUGUUGUAAAAAGGUAAGAGGAAGGUGGCUUGCGCUUCGGCUCAAGUGUUUAUAGCCUUUUACCCCUGCAAUCGGAGAGAUUGAGGUCUGCAGCGUAGAUCCUUCGGGGUUAGAUACGUUUGUGCUAAGUUAUAGCUUUUCAUAGACAACUUGUUGACUAUGUUUAGUCUUGUAGCUUACUCGCUUAUGCUAUUUUACCUACGCUUAGGAUGUUGAGUAGCGACAUACGCAC
rnacentral:rRNA from 1 species